rnacentral:rRNA from 1 species
GACGGAGGAUGCAAGUGUUAUCCGGAAUCACUGGGCGUAAAGCGUCUGUAGGUGGUUUAAUAAGUCAACUGUUAAAUCUUGAGGCUCAACCUCAAAAUCGCAGUCGAAACUAUUAGGCUAGAGUAUAGUAGGGGUAAAGGGAAUUUCCAGUGGAGCGGUGAAAUGCGUAGAUAUCGAGAGGAACACCUGCGGCGAAGGCGGGUAGCUGGGCCGACACUGACGCUGAUGCGCGAAAGCCAGGGGAGCGAACGGG